rnacentral:rRNA from 1 species
ACGGUAACAGCAGAGCUUGCUCUGGCUGACGAGUGGCGCACGGGUGAGUAAUAGAUAGAUAAUGUACCCCUUAGUCUGGGAUAGCCACUGGAAACGGUGAUUAAUACUGGAUACGCCUUUUUAGCGUAAGCUAAUUUGGGAAAGGUCUUUCGCUAAGGGAUCAGUCUAUCUCCCAUCAGUUAGUUGGUGAGGUAAGAGCUCACCAAGACGAUGACGGGUAGCGGGUUUGAGAGGAUGAUCCGCCACACUGGAACUGAGACACGGUCCAGACUCCUACGGGAGGCAGCAGUGAGGAAUAUUGCACAAUGGGGGGAACCCUGAUGCAGCAACGCCGCGUGGAGGAUGACGCAUUUCGGUGUGUAAACUCCUUUUAUCAGAGAAGAACAUGACGGUAUCUGAUGAAUAAGCUCCGGCUAACUCCGUGCCAGCAGCCGCGGUAAUACGGAGGGAGCAAGCGUUAUUCGGAAUCACUGGGCGUAAAGGACGCGUAGGCGGGUUAGUAAGUCAGGUGUGAAAUCCUACAGCUCAACUGUAGAACUGCACUUGAAACUACUGACCUAGAGUAUGGAAGGGGCAGAUGGAAUUAGUGGUGUA